rnacentral:rRNA from 1 species
CCUACGGGAGGCAGCAGUCGAGAAUCAUUCACAAUGGGGGAAACCCUGAUGGUGCGACGCCGCGUGGGGGAAUGAAGGUCUUCGGAUUGUAAACCCCUGUCAUGUGGGACCAAAUUAAAAAGAUCGUACCACAAGAGGCAGAGACGGCUAACUCUGUGCCAGCAGCCGCGGUAAUACAGAGGUCUCAAGCGUUGUUCGGAAUCACUGGGCGUAAAGCGUGCGUAGGCUGUUUCGUAAGUCGUGUGUGAAAGGCGCGGGCUCAACCCGCGGACGGCACAUGAUACUGGGAGACUAGAGUAAGGGAGGGGGAACCGGAAUUCUCGGUGUAGCAGUGAAAUGCGUAGAUAUCGAGAGGAACACUCGUGGCGAAGGCGGGUUCCUGGACAUUAACUGACGCUGAGGCACGAAGGCCAGGGGAGCGAAAGGGAUUAGAUACCCGUGUAGUC